rnacentral:rRNA from 1 species
AACGAACGCUGGCGGCAGGCCUAUCACAUGCAAGUCGAACAGGCGUAGCAAUACGUCAGUGGCGCACGGGUGAGUAACGCGUGGGUACCUGUCUGAUGGUAGGGGAUAACCGCGGGAAACUGCGGCUAAUACCCUAUGUGUCCUUCGGGACAAAGAUUUAUCGCCAUCAGGUGGGCCCGCGUAGGAUUAGCUAGUUGGUGAGGUAACGGCUCACCAAGGCGACGAUCCUUAGCUGGUCUGAGAGGACGAUCAGCCACACUGGGACUGAGACACGGCCCAGACUCCUACGGGAGGCAGCAGUGGGGAAUAUUGGACAAUGUGGGCAACCCUGAUCCAGCCAUGCCGCGUGAGUGAUGAAGGCCUUCGGGUUGUAAAGCUCUUUUGGCGGGGACGAUGAUGACGGUACCCGCAGAAUAAGCUCCGGCUAACUUCGUGCCAGCCGCCGCCGUAA